rnacentral:rRNA from 1 species
UACGUAGGGUCCGAGCGUUGUCCGGAAUUACUGGGCGUAAAGAGCUUGUAGGCGGUUUGUCGCGUCUGCCGUGAAAAUCCGGGGCUCAACCCCGGACUUGCGGUGGGUACGGGCAGACUAGAGUGUGGUAGGGGAGACUGGAAUUCCUGGUGUAGCGGUGAAAUGCGCAGAUAUCAGGAGGAACACCGAUGGCGAAGGCAGGUCUCUGGGCCACUACUGACGCUGAGAAGCGAAAGCGUGGGGAGCGAACAGG